GAAGAACAGAGGGAUGCAGGGUAGAAAAAAGCAUCCCGGAACGUGUGCUAAGGAAAUUUCAGCAGGGCUUAGUGCCACAGCAUCUCUUAGAAAUGGGUCUACCCCAGUGUCCCUGCUUGGUCACUGGCUAGAAGCAGCCUGUGGGAAGCGCGGCUUUGGUGCAAAUGUAAGGAUAGAGCUUGGAAUUCAGGAGUUGGGAAUCACUGGCCAGUUACCAUCCCUAUUUCCAGAGGGCACGCUCAUGGCCACUAUAUACAUUAUUAAAGAAUUCCCCCACACUGAGAGAAUGAAGAUGCUUUGCCACAUCUUUCUGAGGCUCAGACACUAAGAAAGCCUGUCUGGGGCUCAAAUAAGAGCACAUCCAUGAAAUCCAGACUCACAAAAAAAAAAAAUGCGCAACAAGAGCCAGUGGGAUUCAGGAUCCAGGCACCAUGGAAAUGUAUGGCAUUAAUGUUCCUGUAACAGAGGAUUCUGCUCUGUGGAGGAAAGGCAGGCUGUGAGAAAAGCCCUCUUUGGAUGCAAGGUCUCCCCCCAUCCCCUGCAAGUGACAAAGCUGAGCACACUCUAAGUACGGCAAGAACCCCCAUCCCUUAUGUUUUUAUUUUGCUUUAACUAGCACUUCUUGGACUGGUGUACAUUUGGAAGUAAAUCUGAUUAGUUUAAUCUCAGCACAAUUAAAAGUGACUAAAUGCUCAUAUUCUGGAAGCCAUUUCCAAAAUCCCUGCAGCCUUUUUGUGCGUUCCCUAAGAAAGAAAGUUGCCAUCAUUUGCGAAAGAAGCCAUGUGUCACCAAGGGGCAACCUCAAUAUGACUUCGCACCCCAGUCAAAGAAAAGUACUCUUUAAUAUGGAAGUUCUCUGAAGACUAUGUUGAUUUUGAAUGAAGGCACCUUUAGCCUAAGAAAAGCCAUGUGCUUGCUGUACAAACAAGGCUCUCAGACGAGUCCAUCAGUGCUGCAAUCUGGUCACAUCCACACCAUGGGGAAAUGGUGGAAAGGCAACUACUCAGGACUGUGUCCCCUGUAACAGGACCAUUUGUAAAAAAAAAAACAUGAAAAAGUGAGUAAAGUUUGCCUUAAAGGGC